GACCCCGUGGUGUAAUGGAAACACAUCAGUCCGGUCUACUGAAGAUUCUGGUUCGCCCCCAGCCGAUGACU